AUGGCAAAAUGUCCUUCGGUUGUUACGGGGUUAAAGAUGUUGGUAAAAAAAUAUCGGACGUGUUUGCCGGACAUGCUUAAGGUCCUGUACAUUAAUUCAGACACACUGUCUAGCAAUCUUGGCUAUCUGUAUUCUGUAGCACCCAAAAUUAGGAAAUACCGAGCGGAGCAGGCUGUGUGCUCCUUCCUGCUCUUUCUGCAAGGCUGCUCCUUUUUUCUGCAAGGCUGCUCCUUCCUCUUGGAGGAACACCGAGCGGAGGAGGCUGUGUGCUCCUUCCUGCUCUUUCUGCAAGGCUGCUCCUUUUUUCUGCAAGGCUGCUCCUUCCUCUUGGAGGAACACCGAGCGGAGCAGGCUGCUCGCCGAGGAGACUCUCACAUUAGGUGGGAUCAACCACAAAUUUCAUAUUUAGGCAUUGUAAAAAAUUCUGAAAUUAUUUUACAACUACCUGUAGGGUAUGUUUACAACUCCAAAAAUACCAGCUCAAAACUUGAUGUACAUUUAGAGCUUCAAAAAAGACAUUUGAAUGUGAAUAGUGGCAGCAUUGGGUGA
rnacentral:rRNA from 1 species